UGGGGAAUCUUAGACAAUGGGGGGAAACCCUGAUCUAGCCAUGCCGCGUGAGCGAUGAAGGCCUUAGGGUUGUAAAGCUCUUUCAGCUGGGAAGAUAAUGACGGUACCAGCAGAAGAAGCCCCGGCUAACUCCGUGCCAGCAGCCGCGGUAAUACGGAGGGGGCUAGCGUUGUUCGGAAUUACUGGGCGUAAAGCGCACGUAGGCGGAUUAGUCAGUCAGAGGUGAAAUCCCAGGGCUCAACCCUGGAACUGCCUUUGAUACUGCUAGUCUUGAGGGUCGAGAGAGGUGAGUGGAAUUCCGAGUGUAGAGGUGAAAUUCGUAGAUAUUCGGAGGAACACCAGUGGCGAAGGCGGCUCACUGGCUCGAUACUGACGCUGAGGUGCGAAAGCGUGGGGAGCAAAACAGGAUUAGAUACCCUGGUAGUCCACGCCGUAAACGAUGGAAAUGCCAGUCGUCGGGUUGCAUGCAAUUCGGUGACACACCUAACGGAUUAAGCAUUCCGCCU
rnacentral:rRNA from 1 species